UCCUCGGGGUCCGCUUCGCUCCCCUCCAAAUGGCGGCGUGGCGCUGCACGUUUGCCGUCCGACCCGGCUUUCUCUCGCGUUCUGCUGCACCCGCCUCGCAGCGGGCCUCCCGGCGCCCAGGCAGGGUGCACCGACCGCGUGGUGCUGCUGGGGGAUUGGAGGUGGGGGUCUGCGUUACACCGGAGCUGAGCGUCUGUACACUACCCGACUGCCCUGUAUCGCAUAGCCCAUACCUUCAGCUGUAGCUCAGGAUCUGACUACCUGUGCAAAAGCAGGCUUGAAGAUCCAUCUUUAGACAUCUCAGUGCCUGAGUCAGAGGUGGGGAGCAAGAUCCUCAGUUGAUAAGAACUGAAGGAAAUCCACAGGAGUUCUAUACACAGUUACACCAACAGGAUGCAGCGUCACACCAAUGGAGAGAAGAGCCAGAACGCAAAAGCCAGGACAGUGCAGCAGCCUGAAAGCAGGAAAUGGGAAGAGGAGAUGACAUACCCAGAACCUGCAUGAACAGAAAGGAACCAUCCCUUGACUGGGCAUAUGCGGAGAAUAUAGGAUAAGACUACAAAGAUCUUCUCAGCUGGUGUGUGACUACACUCUACAUUAAGAAAAUGUCAAGUGACAUCACUUCAUCUCCUCGGGCUGAGGAUCUAUUACAUCCAUCAACACAUGGCAACAAGUGAUUCAACUUCUCCAAAGCAGACUGUUGGCCAGCAAGCCACUUUGUAAGUAACUUUGUCAUGUAUUUUCAGCAUUUUGUUUCCUAACUAAAGCUAGCCCAUAUAAUUUGUAUAGGCAUCAUACACAUAACAACUGUAAGCUACCAGUGACCCAUGGCGGAAUGGAUGCAGAACAGAAGCUGGUCUGUCAGAAGUGAUAGUACUCAGAGAACAACAGAACAGCAGCAACAGAGGAUAUUCAAUAUCAUUUAAAGUUGUACUGUCACACUUUUUGUUUUCAACUGCAAUUUAAAGCUAUGUUAGUGAUCUGAUGCACCUGAUGGGAGUCACUUGCCUAGCUGGGAUACCAUCUCUCUCCUCAUCUGUACUUCUAAUAGCUCAUAAUGGCAUAUUAUGAAACACUCUUCAUGCUAACAGCAGAAAAGAAGAUAGGAUACCAUCAAGGAUAGUCCUUUCUUCAAUAUGUUCCUUUUUCCCACUGGUUUAGUGAAACAGUUUGUCAUAUUUUAAGGCAAUGCACAAGUGUAAAGCUAAAUAGAAGUAAAACUUUCAAUUCUUUUCUCUAACUAGAAGUUUGUAAAUAUAUACACCUAUACCUGGAUGUAGUCUUAAGGGGAGUGGGUACUGUCACAGUUCUGGCCUGAAUCAUGACUAAAAUUAUUAUCACAGAAAUCACAUAAUUAUGCAGCUUAUACAAUAUUAUUUUUCAUAACUUCAUAGCUAGACUCUUGGUAAUAAUAUGCAUGAUAAUGCAAUGAUUCAUGGAGCCUAUUGAUAUAGACUGGGUUUUCCAUUUUAUGGGUAGGAACAAUUCAACUACAGAAGAUUGUUGGUGGUCAAUCUGGAAAAGAAUCUGGAGUCCUGCACAUUUUAGUCUACACUCUGAAUUACACACCCUUUCUGAUAACAACACUGGCAAGCAUCUGACCUACAGAACAGAACUGCCACUUCCACAGAAAGUGACAAAAUGUGUUGGCUAAAACUGGCUGAAAGAACUUACCUGGAGCUUUGAAAGCGAUUCUUUAAGGCUUGGAACUGUAACUAACAAGGACCCUCUUUUCUUUACGUUACGAGCAAUAAACUCCCAAGCUCUGAAACACAUUUAAAAGCAGAUUAUCAGGUUUUAGAGAAAGAAAUAUAUUCUUUCUUUAUAUUAAAACCAAUAAAUUCCUAAGCUCUGAAACAGUUUUGAAAAUACGUCAUCAAUUUUCAGGGAUAGAAACACCUCUGAGAUACAACAAAUCUAACACUAAAAGUCAAUGGAGGCAGACUAAGCUUGAAGACUUGCUAUAUUGCUUAUCACUCACUGUUUGUAUCUCAGCAAAUAACUGUACAAACAAAAUCAGACUUUAUAUUAACAACAGAGAGAAUAGAUAGUCUUAAAAUGCUGGGGUUUUAAAAAAAUUUUUCACUCUGAUACAUAUAUGCAUGUCUUUCUGUACUGUCAAUACCUUCAUCCUGGACUAAGAUUAAACAUCAACAUUUGGUCCCCUUAAACUUCUGAAGAAAAUCCAGUCCCCAGGCACGCAGUUUUAUGAAAGCAGCUCUAUACAUACUUAUUUUGCAGUUGUUACAAAAGUCUCUUAAAACAUUACCAAUAGAAAUAUAUAAAUAUAGCCCCCAGCAUUUCUUUUUUUUCUCAUUUUGCGAGUUGGUUCAUUUCUAGCAGCACAGCAAAUCAUAUUAAAAAGAAUUUAAUUUUCACCAUUUUUCAAAUGUAAUUUGUCUUCAUGGUACUAAUGCAACAUUAAGCCACUACAACUGAUUUCUUGAAGAAUUAAAUGAAUUCUCAGUCAUGUACCUUGCAACAAAUCUCCAGGCAAUGUGCAACAGCAACUAAUUCACCCAUCCAUUCUGUCUCUGUUUGAGAUUAUUGUUUGGUACCAAGAACAUGCCUUAACUUAAAAUGCUAGUAGAAACACAGGCACCCUUUUCUUUUAACUACCCAUGGUAAAGGCACAGCAACUUUCGGCAGGUAAAGUUACUUAAGCUUUAAAUGGAUAAUGAUUAACAAAUGCUCAUCUGGAAGCAUCCAGUACCCUAAAAAGAAGCAGCUUUAUCAUGCAUUUAUUUGUACCACGUCCUUAUGAAAAUACAUUAGAAAUAUUAAUAUCCAUGUUUUGCAGUGCAUCUGUAUCAAUGCUGUGACAUCCACAAGUCAGAGCAACCUGUCUUCUUUCUGAAAAUCAAGCUUUAUGCUGAUAAAGUCAAUUCAGACCCUUAACAGUGCAACCAGGAAAGAUUUGGGUAAAAAAAGAACAGUAUUCAGUGAGUUUAACAGCAGAAACUGCUGUAAUAUCUUAGCAGUUAAGAAAAACAAUUAAAUAAAGGCAUUUUAAAACAUUUCCUUACAUAAUUUAUGUAAGUGACUUCAAAAAGCACAACCUUAUGGUUUUCUACAAGGGUACACAUACAGUGCCAAAGAAAUAGAUUACUUCUUUGAACAUGUAGCUUACUUGGCCUGUUCCAGUCUGUCAAGAAAAUAUUCAAAGACAUUAUUCAUUACAACAACAUCAGCCUUCUGAAGAAGUGAAGCCUGAGUACAGAUGUCUGCGUGAACCACCUGAAGGAGAAAAAAAUUCACAAAGCAUAAAUUAAUUUAAGAGAAAAUACCUCCUUCAAAUAAACAUUAAAACCAACAGCAUAUUACAACACAUGCUAUGACCUUCUUGAACCCAUCACAAAAAGGUGUAUUUCACUGAUCUCACUGUAGAUGCUUACAGUUAAGUUAAACUAGAUAAGCUUUUUUUUUUUUGAGAAUAUUUCAAGGCUCCUCACAAGCUCAGUGCCUUACUAAGGGAUCGUAGCUAGAAAAAAACACUACAGACAAAUUUGACAAUUGAAUUCUCAUUACCUAUAUAGGGACUGGGAGUGCUGGAAAGGCAAAAUGCUCGCUGGCACUGGAAGACAACAAGUGCUUUAACUUCCCAAGCAACUACUUCUCCAGUAAGCACAGGAGCUGGUUUGAUUUCAUUUACCUUCACCUAUCAAAAAGGAUAUUAGUACGUCAUGUCAUUUUCAAACAGGUGAGAUUAUAGUGACAAGAGAAUGUGAAUGCUCAUUAACACUCCAACAAGAUGUGUCCAAUUUCCUCUUCAACAUGGAAAAGUGCAUCACAUCCUAAAUCUGAGAAACAAACUAGGAAAUCUUUUGAGGGGAUAAUGGAAAGAAACCCAAUGUGAAUAUUCCUUGAAUUCCACAAAAUUUUUUUGAAAGUGCAUCCACAUAUGUUAAAAUCAUACAGAAAACCUGAUCGACGUCUGGUCUUUUCUGUAUGAACUAUUACUAGGUUGUGCAGGGAAUACAUUAAUGCUAUGGAUUCAACAUUUCACAUUUUGUGGAUUCCUUCCAAUAUUCAAAAGAUGUAAAAAAGAAUUCUUGAUUUUGAGUGUUUGUACAGAAAAUAAACAUUUAUCUGUUGAAAACCAUUUUGCCCACUUCACAUAACAGUACUUGUUGAGAGGGUAAGAUACAUACACAUCUUCAUAAAGAACAUGUAAAGCAUGCUGUUCUGAUUGACAGAGGAAAAAGAUACUACCACCCCUGCAAACUGUAGGAGUUCCAGUGGGGAAAGAGAUGACAAAUUGUCAGUUUAUGAUCCCAACUGAUGCUAUUAGGGUACAUUAUUGCAACUGAAAUUGGAGCCAAACGUUUUAAGAUCAGUAACAGCAGAAACAAAGGUCUACUGUAUUAGGCAUCAACAGCUUCAUUUCCUUAAAUUUAAUGCUACCUAUAAUGAGUGGAAGGGAAGUAACUGUGUUCUUGUAGUUUACACAGAAUUGGUAGGUUAGCGUUUGAAGGCUGUAUUUCACUGAGAAAUAUGGACGCCUGAGUUAUCAGUCAAAUGACAGCUUUCAUCUCCAAUGUGUGCAUAUCUGAACUACUUAUCUGUUCAUAAUAUAUGGAACAUUUUAAGACAAUCAAUAUUUGUGAUAAUUUAUCUUAAAAUAGUGUAAUAUAGACAACACCUGCAAAGGAUCUGAUCAAAAAGAAGUUCAAACAUCCAGGCAGCAGAGAAACAAGACCAUCAGCAGUCCUAAAGAAGGUAGGUCCUGGUUGCAAAUCUAUAUCCUAUAUGCAUGAAGCCACUGCUAACUAUAAGUAAAAAUAACAAGCUAUUAAUUGAGGUGGUAGAGGUAUUAUGGAUACAGCCUUAACUGCUGCCUCAGUACAUGGGCUACAGCUUCCUGCAGUGGGGCAGGACAAACAGCAAGGGACAAAACUUGCCUCAGCUAGAUCUAGCCGGAACUCAUGUAUCAGCACUUGGAUUCCUCCAUAAUUUAUUAGUGCAACUAUGCAGUAAGUGGGAUUCAGGUCAAAAUUUGAAGGCAAAAGAGACAUUUUAAUUUAUUCUCUUAUUUUCAAGGGGAGAAAGUAACAAAACCAGCACAUUUCUGUACAAAAUACCUGAGCAGCAGUGCUUAAUUCAAACCCAAGUGACUGAUGGGCUGUUCCCAAAGGGAUUUUAAAAAUGACAGCUUGAAGGAGGAAAAGAUCACACACAUAAGUGGCACAAGACACCACAUUACUACUGAAUUUUCUACAUGUCCUGCUAAUGGCAGUCCUAGUAUUUUUAGCCUUGAUUCAGAAAAAUAAGCUACCAGGAAAUUUCAAACAUAUGUUGUCCGAUGCCUCAUUUACUUCAAAAAUGCUUAGACCUCAAAUUAAAAUUAGACUGCUUUUACAGAACAGGUGACUGUGCUGAUUAAACUGACCUUUGCAGCCCAUUCUCGUUAAACCCAUCCUUGUUUCUAUUGGGGAAUGCAGGACCACAAGAGCAUGUGGUUGCAUCACAAGCAAGGCCCAGAUACCACUCCAGCUGAAACAAUGGGUUCUAAGUCAGCUGUACCUGCUUUCUGUUCAGCUUGGCUAUACGUUGGCACAACAGAGGACAGCAACUGAUUUUAAAUCGAACUAUUUUAUUUUCCUUCCAGUAUCUACACAUUUGCUCAGACAUCAAAAGACACUGAGCAACUUUCUAUAUACUUUAACAAAUCAAAUGUAGAUCAGGAUUCCACCCUUUGGGAAAACGUUCUAACAAAAAUUCAGUAUAUCCUGAAAAGCAAUUAUUAUUUAAGAAAGGUCUCUUCAAAAUCUGUGUCAUAAAUUAUUAUCAGCGGCUGGAUUCUGACUUUCUUUUUUUAAGCUAGUAUGUAUCUCUAGAGAGGUAAAAUAAAAACCUAAGAAUGAGAUAUUCAAAGCAGGGUGAUAACAGAAGUCAUGUGACUAAAUUAGCAUCUAAUGAAAUUCAAAUACUAAAGUCCUCAGGCAUUGCUUUGAAAACAUACCAUCUUCUUAUCUUUAUUCCCUGAAAUGGAUACAUCAGCAGAAUUAAAAGGUGUGAAGGAAAAACAAAGUCUUAUAAUAUAGUACAUAAAAGGCUGAAAAGCAUAUUUAUGCAUCUCCAGUUCCACUGAAGUAACUUGACAAAGUUCUAACUGAGACUUCAGUCUCAUCAAAACAAGUACGAAGUACAUGCAAAAAUUGAAGGUUAUGGAUGAACUGUCAGCAGUUGGUAUUGAACUGGGCAACCCAAUGACACUGCUUACCUAGAGUUAUAUUUAUGUACGCUUAUUAUUUCUUUACAGUUCAAAAUCACUAUUUUAAUUUCCAAGAAAUAACUGCGCCCAGUGGUUUUUGUGACUCCACUCAAGAGCAUAUGCAUAUAACACAGGAUUAAAGCCAGUAUUUCACACAGCAUAUUCUACUUACCAAUUUUUGCUGGAAGCAAAACAACUGGUAUUCCCCAAGAAGGGAAAAAAACCCAAAUAUUUUUCUCAUUAAAAUGAUAGUACUAGUUAUUUCCAUAAUAGGAGUUGAGAAACAAUUCCCAUAACAAUAUCACGUUGCUUGAAACUCAUUUUGUUUGUGGAAAGUACACACGCACUGACAUGUCAAGAAAACAAAUUCCAAUAGCCAAAAGUCCUUUAGGUGUUCUUAGAUGCAAAUUUACAAAUCCUCCCUCUAGUGUUAAUGAAAUGCACAGACAUUUGAUUUUCUUAUUCAAGACAGAAACUCUCAUUCACUCAGUUUCAAGGAAGUUAGUGGCAACGCUGUUGUUCACUUCACUGGGAGAAACAACUAAGAUGGAUCUGUUUUGCAUGAGCCAGCAGGUAAAUCCAUUUGGGAAAGAGGUUAAGACAUACAUCAUGUUAUCAUAGUUUGGAAAUUUUCCUUUUUCUUUCCACACUGAGAUUUUUUUUCCAAUAUAAACCCUUUGCUUAAUACCAAAGCAAGCAAAGGCAGAAACAAUUUUUCAGAAUGCCAAUUUACCAGUUGCUCUUGCAAACAGAAUACCUACUAUACAGUGGUUAAAAAUAUACACACACAGCCAUAUACUUAGUUACCUUUAUUCUGUCAAUGAACUGGUAUUUUGUAAUUGUCAUUUCUUGCAACUGGCAAAAGUCUGCAUUCAUUUCUACUCCAUACAGUUGAGAAGCUGAGCUAUAAAGAUAACCCUACAUUAGGAAAAGGAAGUUUAGUAACCGUGAUGCCUUUAAAACAACUUCAAUAUUGAGUUGAAAUGGAAAAAAAAACAAACCAAACAAAAACAAACAAAAACAAACAAGCCAACAAAAGUAAAUAUCAAGAAAGUAUUUAAUAAAAAAAGAAGCUAAGAUGUGCCUUACAGUGGAUGUGAUAUAUUUUUCAAAGCUAGGCCUGUUUUGACAAUUUCCACUUAUGGCUCACACAUUUUUUAAUAAGAGAUCCAAAACAACAGGUCAAAAUAAUAAAAAGAGUAGGAAAUCUUCAACUUUACUUCAAUUGCAAAGUAGAUGGAAAAAGGCCUAGGAUGGAAAAAAGCAGUAGAAACCAAAUUAUAAAAAUAGCAAGAAGGAAAAAGACUGUACUUUUUUUUUUCUUGUGAGAAUGGAAGAAGAAAAUACAGCAAGAGAAGAAAAAACAACUAGGACAGUUAAUGUGAGUGAAGACAGAGGAUGAUCUUUCUCGUAAUAUAAUGGGAUAAUGGGAUAUUUUGGGACAGUCUUUGUCAGCACCUCUAAGUAGUGUAUCACUGCCAUUUUCAGGUGCUUUACAGAGAUGCAUAUGAAAAAAAAAAAUGAGAAAUUAUCUCUAAAUGAUAAGCCUAAAAUACUUCAGCAAUUCCGUUUUGGACUGAGAUUUUAGAAAUUUGUAAAAGAUGUAAAAAACAAAAACAAAAACAAAAACAAAAACCACACACCUAGAACAAAAGCCCUCAAGCCUAUAGUGCCCUAAUGGAGAUACUGCUUUAGCUUCUAUUUGCCAUUGUCUCCGUAGAACACUUGGCAAACAACGGGAAACACCAGCAAAAAGUGCUGAAGAUAGAGAAAGUUCAAGAUGGCUAUAUACUGCAAUCUAAUUAUUAAUGUUUUCUGAACUCAUUAAACUCAGUGACAGCAACCUGUGAAGGCAAAGCUAUCAUUUCUAAACAUGAUAAAAAAUAGAACAAAACAUUCUUCCUGCUUUUUCUUGAGACUAUCUUCUACUAUAACAAUACAAUUUAAAUACUUCAUUUAAAUACUUGAAAAGAAAUUCAAUAGCUAGCAAAAGUGUUAUCAUUAAAGGACCCAAUACUGGAAAUAUUUACAAAAGGGUGUAACUUUUCUCAUUUGAGCAGUCCCAAAAUUAGAUUAUUCAGAUGAGUAAAAUUACAUGCACAAGAGUUUCCAAGAUUGAGCCCCAAACAGCCAUUGACUUUUGUAAGAAAGUUGUAAUGUGUGUUUUGCGUUGCUGUUGGCCAUAUGUUUCACCAGCCAUGCCAAAAGCAAUCAAAAUUGCACUCAAGUUUCUCGAAGUAUUUUAUGUGCAUUUUAAAACACAGAGCAGGACAAUAUGUUUUUGGAGACAAAUUCAUAUCAAAGCCUUCCUUUGUAUAAUUCAACAGUUUGUCAGAUUCAUAAAGGAACUUAACAUAUCUGAUCUAUAUAUAGACAUGGUCAAGACAUAUGGGACAAACUCACUUAUGGAGGAGGAGAAGAGCAGGAAUUAGCAAAAGAGCAGUAUGUGUGACGGCAAUAUGCUGCUGUGUUGGACAACAGACUUUUCUGCUCCAUAAGCAAGAUCACUGGUAUUCUCUUUCGUGAGGCAAGAGCAAAAACAAAAAUCACUAUGAAGCAGCACCAUACUCUAUUCAACCAGAUCAGAGGUGCUGUUCAGAAUGACCUGUCGAAGAUUGAGUAGCGAUAGUAGGAAGUCGGAGAAGAAGGAAUAUGUUUGUUACAGUAAUAAAAUAUAAAUUCCUGUGCUGGAAGUUACCGCAAAUAGCACUGCACCAAGCCUGGAGCCAACGUCAACCACUACCUUUCCUGUCAGGUCAGGCAGUACAUGUUGAUAAAGAAACUUCAGUUCCAUGAGGGAAAAGGAAUGCGAAAUAAAUUCUGGGAAAUAAGAACAGAACAAAGGUGUUGGGUGGGCAGUACUAACUAAUGUGUUAGUAACCAAUAAAAUACUAAUCUGAGGAGUUACCAUCACUGAAAACCCAUUUGCUUUCCUUCCUCAACUAGUGCAGGGGACCCAGGAAAACCAGAGAUUACAGAUCUGAUCCAGCCUGUCAGCAGACUGCCCGAGUCCAUGGAUUUAUUCCUUUACAUGGAGAAUUUUUAAAUCCUUCUUCAAUGCCUGAUCUGUACCACACAAGCUUUAAGACAGAUGGUGCUCUCCACAGUUUUCAGUGCACAAGAGAAGACUGAGGCUACUGCAUGGGCUGCUACAGUAUUAUUUGCGUAUACACCUUUUCAGUGGCAGUUAGAAAAAGGACCUGGAAGGAACCUUCGGAAGUUACCAACUCUUCAACCCUUCUUCCAAGACAGAAUCAAUUCUGAGCACCAAUAUUUCUCCCAAGCUAUUAUCUAAAUAAAUAAAUAAAUAAUUCUUGGAUGCUGGAGUACCUACAAUCUCCCUUAUCAAUCUACAAUCUUCCUUAUCAACCCAUUCCAGAGA